rnacentral:ncRNA from 1 species
UCGGGACGAAGCAGGCUCCCGUCAGACGGUCCACCGUCCAAGCUCUGC